UAUAUUAAAUAAAGUUUUAUUAUAUAGUUAUGUUAGGUUAUUGGUAAUUAUCUAAUUAUAAAAAAUAAAAAGAAAAAGUAAUGUAAAUGAAUAAUUAUUAAAUAAAGUAAAGAAAAUUUUAUUUAUUGUACCUUUGGUAUCAGGGAUUUUUAAAAUUUAAAUUAAGAAUAAUAAUAUUCUCGAAUUUAAAGGAGUUAAUAAGUUAUGAUUGUUAAUGUGAAAUAAUUAUAAUGAAUAAUUUAUUAGGGAAGAUAUUUUAGUCAAUUUUAAAGAUAUCUAGUUUUUUUUUAGUAAAUUUAAUUUUGUUCUAUGAAAAAUAAUAUUAAUUAAAUAAAUAGUAAUUAAUAUUAAGGGUAGAAAGUAAUUUUUAUGGGAUAAACUAUAAAAAUUUUAAAAUAUGUUAAAAUAGAUGAAAAAUUUAAAAUUAGUAUUUAUAAGAUUUGAAUUCUAUGUAAAAAAUUUAAUAAUUUAUUUAUUUAAAGUAUUUUAAUAAUUUAUAAAUUAUAUUUUAUUUAUAUUUAUAUAGUAAGAAAAAAUAUUAAAUUUAAUUAUAAAAUUUAAGUAAUAAUGAUAAUAUAAGUAAAAUAAAUUAUUUAAUAAAUAAGUUAUAUAUUAGUAAGUUAAUGUAAGGAAUUAGGCAAAUUAAGAGUCCACCUGUUUAAUAAAAACAUGGUUUUUUGAUUAUAAUUUAAGAUCGUGUCUGCUCAAUGAUGUAAAAUUAAAUAGCUGCAGUAUAUUGACUGUACAAAGGUAGCAUAAUAAAUUGUUUUUUAAAUGGAAACUAGAAUGAAAGAUUUGAUGAGACUAAGGCUGUCUCACAUUAAAAGUUUCGAAAUUAUUAAUUAAGUAAAAAUUCUUAAAUAAUAAUAUGGGACGAGAAGACCCUAUAGAAUUUUAUAUAUAUAUAUAAGUAAGGAAUUUUUUAAUAUUUAGAAAAUUAUAUAUAUAUAUUUAGUUGGGAGGAUUGAUAAAUUUAAAUAACUUUAUUUAAAGAAAAAAUAUUAAUGAAUAAGUUAAAGAAUGGUUUGUAAAUUAAAAAAGAAUUAAUUACCUUAGGGAUAACAGCGUAAUAUUUUUAGAAAGAUCAUAUUUAUAAAAAUGAUUGCGACCUCGAUGUUGAAUUAAGAUAAAAAUUAAAUGAAGGAGUUUAAUAUUUAAGUCUGUUCGACUUUUAAAAUCUUACAUGAUUUGAGUUUAGAUCGGUGUGAGCCAGAUCGGUUUCUAUCUAUAUUAAAUUUAAAAAUAUUUGUACGAAAGGACUUUAUUUUUAAAAAUUUUUUUAUAUAAAUACAUAAUUUUUAAUAUUAUA
rnacentral:rRNA from 1 species